CCUACGUGGGACUGCAGUAGGGAAUCUUCCACAAUGGGCGAAAGCCUGAUGGAGCAACGCCGCGUGGGUGAAGAAGGUCUUCGGAUCGUAAAACCCUGUUGUUAGAGAAGAAAGUGCGUGAGAGUAACUGUUCACGUUUCGACGGUAUCUAACCAGAAAGCCACGGCUAACUACGUUCCAGCAGCCGCGGUAAUACGUAGGUGGCAAGCGUUAUCCGGAUUUAUUGGGCGUAAAGGGAACGCAGGCGGUCUUUUAAGUCUGAUGUGAAAGCCUUCGGCUUAACCGGAGUAGUGCAUUGGAAACUGGGAGACUUGAGUGCAGAAGAGGAGAGUGGAACUCCAUGUGUAGCGGUGAAAUGCGGAGAUAUAUGGAAGAACACCAGUGGCGAAAGCGGCUCUCUGGUCUGUAACUGACGCUGAGGUUCGAAAGCGUGGGUAGCAAACAGGAUUAGAUACCCGAGUAGUC
rnacentral:rRNA from 1 species